UUUUCCUUUGUUAAUGUACGGCCCGUUGAGAUAGACGGUUCGGAUAUUCGGUGUGACGUCUUCGUGGGAGGAUAUAAGGGUAAUUGUGCGAGAGGUGCGCAUGUGUGUGUGUGGGGUGGGAGCAUGGGAUUACUCCCCAUGCCAAUAAUUUCCCAGGAGACUACUUUCUCCCAUUUCUCUUUUUCUCUCUCUCGGCCAAACUCUCUCCUCCUCUCCUCCGAAACUCUCUCCUCCCUUCUCUCUUCGAUCUCAACACCUUAGAGCAUGAUUCCGGAUAAAGUCCAAGAAUUAAAAUUGCUAUACGGAGCACGGGCUUUCCAAAUAUCCAAGAAAAAUCUUGAUCGGACUGCGUGGGAGCUCGGUUGACUUGGUCAAAGGGUCGGGUUCUGCUCAAAACCCAUGAGGUACGAUUCAAGAAAGUUGACAUGAAGUACAUGUUGUGUAUUUGUGACCAAACCUUUAAAAAGGUAUAUUCAAGAAGGAUUUCAUAGCACAAGAUCUGAAAGAGCAUUUUUUUUUGGAAAGAUAGUCUUUGUAAAUUGUAAUAAUAUUUUCCUAGGAUAUUGGUAUUUUGAUGAUUUGGGGCCUUCGAGUUGGAAUGUAAUAUUUGAAUUUUAUUUGAGAACAGUGAACAAAAAGAUCUUUUGGGGUAUUAUUUGUAUUACAGCGAGGACUUUAUUUAUUAAAAGUGUUUAUUAUUUAUGUUAAAAA